AAAGCUCAAAAUUUAAAGUGCAUAAAAGUAAAUGACUUGAAAUUAAAUGUUAGUUGUUAGUUGAUUAGGAGUUAGUAUUUCUUUUUCUUUGUUUUUUGUUUAAGUCAUUCUUUAGAGAAUAUUCAACCCACUUAUCACAAGCAUGUAUCCUUGAACCAAGACAUCUUCCAAAGGAAGGAAAAAAGGCCAAGUUUCCACAUAAUACCAUGAAAGAGGGGAG
rnacentral:lncRNA from 1 species